GACGAACCGUGCGAACGUUAUUCGGAAUCACUGGCUUAAAGCGCGUGUAGGCGGGACGGCACGUCGGUCGCUGAAAGCCCCCGGCUCAACCGGGGAACGGGCGCCGAUACGACCGUCCUGGAGGGACGUAGGGGGACCUGGAACAUCCGGUGGAGCGGUGAAAUGCGUUGAGAUCGGAUGGAACGCCCGUGGCGAAAGCGAGGUCCUGGACGUUUUCUGACGCUGAGACGCGAAAGCCAGGGGAGCGAACGGG
rnacentral:rRNA from 1 species